rnacentral:rRNA from 1 species
AUUGAACGCUGGCGGCAGGCCUAACACAUGCAAGUCGAACGAGUGGCGGACGGGUGAGUAAUGUCUGGUAAACUGCCCGAUGGAGGGGGAUAACUACUGGAAACGGUAGCUAAUACCGCAUACCAUCGGAUGUGCCCAGAUGGGAUUAGCUAGUAGGUGGGGUAACGGCUCACCUAGGCGACGAUACCUAGCUGGUCUGAGAGGAAGACCAGCCACACUGGUACUGAGAGACGGUCCAGACUCCGACGGGAGGCAGCAUGGGGGAAUAUUGAACAAUGGGCGUAAGAAGGAUGCAGCCAUGCCGGGUAUAUGAAGAAGGCCUUCGGGUUUUAAAGUACUUUCAGCGAGGAGUCGUUAAUCGCAGAAGAAGCACCGGCGAACUCCGUGCCAGCAGCAGCGGUAAUUC